CUUUGACCUGUAACACUGAUCUGUCCACCGGAUGGGACUUUUACUGGUACAAAAACACACAAGACUCUGAGAUAAAGACGACAAGAACAAACUCCUACAGCAUGAAGAUUGAUUCAGUGUCUGAUGGAGGCCAGUACUGGUGUAGAGCUGGAAGAGGAGAACCAGUCUAUUACACACAAUACAGUGAUGAACUGACACUCAGUGUUACAGAGAGUCCUAAAGCUGUGGUGACGGUGCGGCCUGAUGAACAUGUGUUCAGAGGAGAAACAGUCACUCUCAGAUGUGAUAUAAAGUGGAGAGGAAACACUGAGUGGACAUACAGAUGGCAAAUAGAGCAAACAGGCCAACAUAACCACUAUAACUAUAACCAGAAUAACCAACAUAAAAACACUGUGAGCCGAAGCUCAACACAAGAGUUGAAGAUCAGCCGUGUUGAGGUCUUUCACCGUGGUAAAUACAGCUGUACAGGACAGAUGGACACUCAGAUCUCUCAGCGCAGUGAUGCUGUUGCUCUGACUGUGUCUUCAGAUGAAGCUCAGGCAGCAGUGCGAGUGUCUCCACAGCCGUGGCUCACUGAAGGACACUCGGUGACUCUGAUCUGUGAGGUUCCAGGCUCCUCUACAGGCUGGACGUUCAGCUGGUUCAGAGAUGCUGAUCAUCUGUCAGACAGCAGCAGAGGAGCUGGAGGCUCUUACACUCUCAGUCCUGCUGCUCUACAGCACACAGGAGUUUAUACGUGCAGAGCAGAGAGAGGAGAACCAGCCUAUUCCUCACAGAACAGCAGCGCACAGCCACUGUGGGUCACUGGUGUUUCUGCUUCAGUGCGUCUGGUGCUCAGGCCCAGCAGAAGUCAACACUUCUCCUCUGACUCUCUCUCUCUGAGCUGUGACUCUGCUGGAUGGACAGUGAGAAGAUACACACACGCAAACACACAAGAUUGUUCAGCACAAACAGGAUCUACAUGUGGAAUCCAGUCUCUCAGCACAUCUGACACUGGAGUUUACUGGUGUGAGUCUGAAUCUGGAGAGAAACGCCAUCCUCUGAACAUCACUGUACAUGGUGGUGCUGUGAUUCUGGAGAGUUCUGCUGAUCCUGUGAUUGAGGGAGAAACUCUGACUCUACACUGUUUACAUCGAUCUACAAUCUCCUCCAUCCUCACAGCUGAUUUCUAUAAAGACGGAUCACUGAUCCAGAAUCAGACGACAGGAGAGAUGAGCAUCCCUACUAUUAUUUACCUCUGUAAUAUUAUCAUACAGCAUGUGGUUGAUGAACAGGUCUGUCAUCUUCUCUCCUCAGCUUCAUCUUCAUCUCCUCUUCUGGUCGUUGGUGUUUCUGUGGGAUUGACUGUUUUCCUGCUGCUCCUCAUCUUACUGGUUCUGCUGCUGAGACACAAGAAAAGAGGUAUAUAUGCAAGUGAAAAUUCAUUAAUAAUGAUAUUAAUUUCUACUGUAGAUCAGCACCACAACAAUCAACAAACCAGCACCCCAGUUCCAACUCGAUCUGGAGAAUCUCAACUGGAAAACGUUCCUCUACAGUCAGAGCCAGUGUCAGAUGUGACAUAUUCAGAGGUCACUGUUAAGAAAAAGAAAUCCAUGGAUAAAGCAGACACCAUGCCAGAGUCAACUAAUGUGACAUACUCAAAAAUCAGGAAAAACAUGAAGAAAGAUAUUAAUUCUGCAGGACCCAGUGAUUUGAUUUAUACAGAGAUCAACAUGAAGGAUGAAAAGAAAACCAAGAGCAAAGGUUUUGGACUUGCUGAUGUUCUGAUUAAAAUGAAAUCCAAGGAGAAACGCAGCGGGCAGAGCAGCGAGUCUGGAGACACUUUAUACUCUGAAGUGAAGCAAAACACAGACAGAGGUGCUGAUGCUGAAGUUGAUGCAACUUAUGCUCAAUCCUUUAGGAAGAAGAAGAAUAAAACAUAA